CUCGUAGCUUGCUAUGAGAACAAUUAGUGGCMGACGKGUGAGUAAUGCAUAGGAAUCUACCUAGUAGUAUAGGAUAGCCACUAGAAGUGGUGGGUAAUACUGUAUAAUCCCUGCGGGGGAAAGAUUUAUCGCUACAUGAUGAGCCUAUGUUAGAUUAGCUAGUUGGUGGGGUAAUGGCCUACCAAGGCAGUGAUCUAUAGCUGGUCUGAGAGGAUGAUCAGCCACACUGGAACUGAGACACGGUCCAGACUCCUACGGGAGGCAGCAGUGGGGAAUAUUGGACAAUGGGCGCAAGCCUGAUCCAGCUAUGCCGCGUGAGUGAGGAAGGCCUUAGGGUUGUAAAACUCUUUCAGUGGGGAAGAUAAUGACGGUACCCACAGAAGAAGUCCCGGCAAACUCCGUGCCAGCAGCCGCGGUAAUACGGAGGGGGCAAGCGUUGUUCGGAAUUAUUGGGCGUAAAGGGCAUGUAGGUGGUUUGGUUAGUUAAAGGUGAAAUGCCAGGGCUUAACCCUGGAGCUGCUWYUAAUACUGCCAGACUGGAGUCCGGGAGA
rnacentral:rRNA from 1 species